ACGAACGCUGGCGGCGUGCUUAACACAUGCAAGUCGAACGGGUCUGCCCUGUUUUUUGCGGGGUGGGUCAGUGGCGAACGGGUGAGUAACACGUGAGUAACCUGCCCCUCACUUCUGGAUAACCGCUUGAAAGGGUGGCUAAUACGGGGUGUUCUGGCUGUGCCGCAUGGUGUGGCUGGGAAAGAUUCACUUUUGUGGUGUUUUGGUGGGGGAUGGGCUCGCGGCCUAUCAGCUUGUUGGUGGGGUGAUGGCCUGCCAAGGCUUUGACGGGUAGCCGGCCUGAGAGGGUGGGCGGUCACACUGGGACUGAGAUACGGCCCAGACUCCUGCGGGAGGCAGCAGUGGGGGGUAGUGCACAAUGGGCGGAAGCCUGAUGCAGCGACGUCGCGUGAGGGAUGGAGGCCUUCGGGUUGUGAACCUCUUUCGCCGGUGAAGAAGGUCCUGCUCUUUGUGGUGGGGUUGACGGUAGCCGGGUUAUGAAGCGCCGGCUAACUACGUG
rnacentral:rRNA from 1 species